CUAGCGUGAAGGCAACGUCUCGCUUCUCACGUGGUGGAAACACAUGUUCAAGUGAUGUAAAAGAACGUGUCCAGGAGCUUUGUGUCACGUGAUCGUAGGAAGCAACCCACCAUCCCUUAUACACGCCCGCGCCCACCUGACUGAGCAUCAGACAUCAGAGCAUCAUUGAUGUACACCGAUCAGGUUUAUAGACAACAACAAACAUAACAACUUUCCUUCUUCUCCCAUUAGGGGUCGCCGCAGCAGAUCGUCC